GUGAGCUCGAUGAGUAGGGCGGGACACGUGGUAUCCUGUCUGAAUAUGGGGGGACCAUCCUCCAAGGCUAAAUACUCCUGACUGACCGAUAGUGAACCAGUACCGUGAGGGAAAGGCGAAAAGAACCCCGGCGAGGGGAGUGAAAAAGAACCUGAAACCGUGUACGUACAAGCAGUGGGAGCCUCUUAAUGGGGUGACUGCGUACCUUUUGUAUAAUGGGUCAGCGACUUAUAUUCUGUAGCAAGGUUAACCGAA
rnacentral:rRNA from 1 species